CCGAAGAAAGUUAUGAAAACGUCGUAGGUGAAGGAAGAUCGUUGAUUUGCCAUGAUACGCCGUCGCCGUCGUCGUCGUCUCUACUGGAUUCAUUCUUCUUAUCGUAAUGUCAAGUCAAGCAGCAUGUGAAAACGCGGGAUAUAAGAGGUGUAGUCACUUCGUCUGGUAUGAUGAAGAAAUAUCUCAACGAGCCAAAGAAGUAAUAUCUUCAAUGCAUCAAAAAAUAAAUUAAGAAAAUGUCAAGUUGAAUGAAGUCAUUAUCAGAGAGAAUCAACUGAAGUUGUAGAUCAAGUUCUUGAAGAUGAUAAAUAAAUUUAUCAUAGGAAUGACAUUAGUGUUAUUAAUUGGAUUGGUUGUAUCAAAUGUAAUCAAUUAGUUGAUUAGGUUAGGUUCUUUAUUUUAGGUUGAUUAUGCUAAGUUUGUCUGUGCAAUGUAAUAUUCUAUUAAGGGUAUGGACAAUGUAAUUGAUUAUGUUAAGUUAAAUGAAAUGUUUAGUUAAGAUUA